AACUAGAGCUCGUACUGAAAAGGACUGUUUACAAGUUUAAUCAGCAACCCCCCGAAAAGGCAUAAGCUCUUACGGUGAUUUCAAGAGUAAAGGAAUGUAAAUAAAGCAACUUGAAACAUCA